AUAAUUAUAUAUUCCAUUAUAAAUGUUAUCGCAUAAAUAUUAAUAAUAAGUUAUUUAUUAUCUGUGACAAAAAUUCUACAGGGAGAGUCUAUUUUACCUGUGCAAAGUAAGCCAGAUACACCAGAAGAAAUAGAGGCAUUUCUUCGAAGCCUAAAAAAAGAUAUGUCAAUGACUCACAUUUUUUAGUACGCCUCGGUCGUUAUUGGAUUAUUUCACAAAAUCAACAAAUACAGUCAGGUUUUCUUGAAUGAGAUCUAUGAUGCGAGGUCAUUAGCUGCUGCUACGAGCAUGGACUUGUCAAAGAAACUGAACAAUCAGGUUUUUAUUUUGGAACAGUUGUCAGCUUGAUAUAGCGUUUUACUAAAAUCUAAAGAUGACGACAAAAUCAAUUCACUGGUGUUCCCUUCUUUGCACGAUGUAUUACUUAGAAUUGCAAGUCUGUCAAGAGAGAUUGUAACAAGACGUAUAAGGGAAAGGAAAGCUAUGUCACUACAACGACCGACAGUAUUUUGUUUGAUUCAGUGCUCAAGAUUCCCAGACAUCGUUCAGAUGAAGACAUUUGUCCAUUCGUUUGUCCGUCCGAUGAAAGCGCCUUCGAAUUUCCAUGCUGCAGUAGAUGGUGGAAGUAGAUGAUGCUUAUUUCUGUGCAGGGCCGGGUUUGCGACAAUACAAGACUGUUCAAAUA